GAUGAACGCUGGCGGCGUGCCUAAUACAUGCAAGUCGAGCGAACAGACGAGGAGCUUGCUCCUCUGACGUUAGCGGCGGACGGGUGAGUAACACGUGGAUAACCUACCUAUAAGACUGGGAUAACUUCGGGAAACCGGAGCUAAUACCGGAUAACAUGUUGAACCGCAUGGUUUAACAGUGAAAGACGGUCUUGCUGUCACUUAUAGAUGGAUCCGCGCCGCAUUAGCUAGUUGGUAAGGUAACGGCUUACCAAGGCAACGAUGCGUAGCCGACCUGAGAGGGUGAUCGGCCACACUGGAACUGAGACACGGUCCAGACUCCUACGGGAGGCAGCAGUAGGGAAUCUACCGCAAUGGGCGAAAGCCUGACGGAGCAACGCCGCGUGAGUGAAGAAGGUCUUCGGAUCGUAAAACUCUGUUAUUAGGGAAGAACAAAUGUGCAAGUAACUAUGCACGUCUUGACGGUACCUAAUCAGAAAGCCACGGCUAACUACGUG
rnacentral:rRNA from 1 species